rnacentral:rRNA from 1 species
AGAGUUUGAUCAUGGCUCAGGAUGAACGCUAGCUACAGGCUUAACACAUGCAAGUCGAGGGGAAACGACAUCGAAAGCUUGCUUUUGAUGGGCGUCGACCGGCGCACGGGUGAGUAACGCGUAUCCAACCUGCCCACCACUUGGGGAUAACCUUGCGAAAGUAAGACUAAUACCCAAUGACGUCUCUAGAAGACAUCUGAAAGAGAUUAAAGAUUUAUCGGUGAUGGAUGGGGAUGCGUCUGAUUAGCUUGUGGCGGGUAACGCCGCAAGGCUACGAUCAGUAGGGGUUCUGGAGAGGAAGGUCCCCCANAUUGGAACUGAGACACGGUCCAAACUCCUACGGGAGCA